GACGAAGGAUGCAAGCGUUAUCCGGAUUCAUUGGGUUUAAAGGGAGCGUAGGUGGUCUUAUAAGUCAGUGGUGAAAUCUCUGGGCUUAACCCAGAAAUUGCCAUUGAUACUGUAGGACUUGAGUAUAGUUGCCGUUGGCGGAAUAUGACAUGUAGUGGUGAAAAUACAUAGAGAUGUCAUAGAACACCGAUUGCGAAGGCAGCUAACGAAAACUAUAACUGACACUGAGGCUCGAAAGUGCGGGGAUCAAACAGG
rnacentral:rRNA from 1 species